CCGAUGGUUCCAAAGGAGAAUGAAGGGUCAGCCUUUCAUCAGGGAAACUGGUCCUGGCCUCAGAGUAGGUCUGGAAAGGACAAGGAGCAAGGAAAAUACUUUGAGAAGAAUUGGGCCGGGACCUCGCCAAAGAAAAUAUUUUAUAAAAGUUAAACAAAGAAAAAGAUAUCCGGGAUUUGUCAUUUCCCCUGGAGCCUUUUGUGUUUUGAGCUGAGAAAAAGAGGAUUGAGGCAAGGUCAGGUAACUGAGUUAAAUGGAGGACUGAGGGCUAAAUGAUUCUGUCAAGUGUAUGGAAACACGGGCGAAAUCAGAAUAACAAGAUGAGAGUCCAGUGGGUAUGAGUCAGUGGCUUCCUUUGGGACAAACUGAAAGAAGUUAAUGGCUGGCUGAUGAAAUGGCAAUUCUUCUGUAUGUGGAAAUAUUCAUACCUGAGGAGCUGGAAUGAGCAGUUCUUGACAGAGACGAUACAGAGACAAAUCAGUCAUCAGGAAGGAUUAGAACCCAUCUGAACUGUCUUCCAUCUCUGAGAUCUAUAAAAGCCUUGAUUGGAUGUUGCCAUGGAUCUGUGGUUCCUUCUUUCUUAAUAAAUGAGUGUAGACACCCAAUCUACUUUAGAGGUUCAGACGGUCCUAGUUGUUUAUUAAGCAUCUGAUGUGGGAGGCACAUUCCAGGUGUCCUCCAAUACAUUAUGUCAUUCAAUCCUUCCAACACCCUAGCAGGAAAGGGAUUCUAAAGAUGUGAAGGAAGGCUCAGCAAUAUAAAAAUUCAAUGUAAAUUCAGUAUAGCAAUAUUUAAUGUUAUAAAAAAUCAAUAUCAACUCAAUGAGUGAGGAGUGAAGAGUCUGAACUCAAGGCUUCCUACUAAUUCAAAUCCACAUCUUUCCCUCUCUUCCAUAUUCAAGUUAAGAUAUGGUUAAACUGGAACCUGACUUAUUUGGCAGAAGGGGCCAUAGGUAAAUGGGUAUUUUUAAACUUUCAGCCCUUGGUGACUAAAUUCUGCACAUCCUCUGCUAACUGCAUGUCAGAAGAGCCACCUGUGUUUCCUGCUAUUGCUGAGGCUACUUGGACAGCAUUUUACUCACUGGGUGCUGGAAGCACAGGUGUGGGAACUAGAGUAGAAGCCAAAAAUCUAAUGAUUUUGAACUUCCACAGAACAGGGCUCUGGGCUCUAAAACCUUCAACUGAAGACACAGUGAAAAUAAUGAGAAGCAGUUGCAUUGUUUUCUAUCAUUUUUAGGUUUUAGAGGGGGUGCAGGGAAAAGGGGGUCACUGUAAAUCAUGUAUUUUGUAAGUUACGAGUGUAUUAGAAAAGACUUUUAAAUAUUUGUCGUGUCAUAGUUGAAUAUGAAAUGUAAGUUGCAUUUAAAUUUUCUCAUCAAGCCUGAAGAAAACAAUUUUGCCCCGAGGUAUCCAUCUGUAAGUUUAGCAACAGGCACCAAAUGUAUUUCAUCACAAACUGGAGAGAUAACCCAUAAAACAAGGGUGCUCUGGCAGACAAGAUAAUUCUGAUGAGGUCAACCAUGGAUGGGAAGAGUUCCUCUGCGAGCCUUUGUAGCCCACUGACCCAGAAAGGAAGAGAAGGGGACGACAGAGGAUGAGACAGUUGGAUGGCAUCACUGAC